UACAGAGGGAGCUAGCGUUGUUCGGAAUUACUGGGCGUAAAGCGCACGUAGGCGGCUUUGUAAGUUAGAGGUGAAAGCCCGGGGCUCAACCCCGGAAUUGCCUUUAAGACUGCAUCGCUUGAAUCCAGGAGAGGUGAGUGGAAUUCCGAGUGUAGAGGUGAGAUUCGUAGAUAUUCGGAAGAACACCAGUGGCGAAGGCGGCUCACUGGACUGGUAUUGACGCUGAGGUGCGAAAGCGUGGGGAGCAAACAGG
rnacentral:rRNA from 1 species